AACGAACGCUGGCGGCAUGCCUAACACAUGCAAGUCGAACGAGACCUUCGGGUCUAGUGGCGCACGGGUGCGUAACGCGUGGGAACCUGCCCUUAGGUUCGGAAUAACUCCCCGAAAGGGGUGCUAAUACCGGAUAAUGUCUUCGGACCAAAGAUUUAUCGCCUUUGGAUGGGCCCGCGUUGGAUUAGCUAGUUGGUAGGGUAAAAGCCUACCACGGCGACGAUCCAUAGCUGGUCUGAGAGGAUGAUCAGCCACACUGGGACUGAGACACGGCCCAGACUCCUACGGGAGGCAGCAGUGGGGAAUAUUGGACAAUGGGCGAAAGCCUGAUCCAGCAAUGCCGCGUGAGUGAUGAAGGCCUUAGGGUUGUAAAGCUCUUUUAACCGGGAUGAUAAUGACAGUACCGGGAGAAUAAGCUCCGGCUAACUCCGUG
rnacentral:rRNA from 1 species